GGGAGCAAACAGGAUUAGAUACCCUGGUAGUCCACGCCGUAAACGAUGUCGACUUGGAGGUUGUGCCCUUGAGGCGUGGCUUCCGGAGCUAACGCGUUAAGUCGACCGCCUGGGGAGUACGGCCGCAAGGUUAAAACUCAAAUGAAUUGACGGGGGCCCGCACAAGCGGUGGAGCAUGUGGUUUAAUUCGAUGCAACGCGAAGAACCUUACCUGGUCUUGACAUCCACAGAAGUUUUCAGAGAUGGAAAGGUGCCUUCGGGAACCGUGAGACAGGUGCUGCAUGGCUGUCGUCAGCUCGUGUUGUGAAAUGUUGGGUUAAGUCCCGCAACGAGCGCAACCCUUAUCCUUUGUUGCCAGCGGUCCGGCCGGGAACUCAAAGGAGACUGCCAGUGAUAAACUGGAGGAAGGUGGGGAUGACGUCAAGUCAUCAUGGCCCUUACGACCAGGGCUACACACGUGCUACAAUGGCGCAUACAAAGAGAAGCGACCUCGCGAGAGCAAGCGGACCUCAUAAAGUGCGUCGUAGUCCGGAUUGGAGUCUGCAACUCGACUCCAUGAAGUCGGAAUCGCUAGUAAUCGUGGAUCAGAAUGCCACGGUGAAUACGUUCCCGGGCCUUGUACACACCGCCCGUCACACCAUGGGAGUGGGUUGCAAAAGAAGUAGGUAGCUUAACC
rnacentral:rRNA from 1 species